UUUUUUCCGUAUUAAAAUUCCGAUAUUUCACCGAUCGCCUCCGUUUUUGUACCGUUCGACGACGCUUAUCGUUACGCGUCUUUUCCUCUCUUCAUUCGAAUUUUUCGCCGUACCCGUUUUCUUAAAUUCGCGAUUUUCCGAAUUUCGUGGAACGGAAAACGACGCGAAAUAGGGGAGCGCGCCUCCCGCUCGGCCCGACGCGUUCCCGCCUUUUCGUCGUUAUCACCGCGUCGUAUUGUGCGUCGUCGACCGUUUCUACGUGGUUUAUUUCUCAUUAUUUCGUUAUUAUUAUUAGUAGUACUGACUGUAUUAAUGUUAAUUAAUGUGAUUUCGUAAAUUUUCUACUACUACGGCCAUUAUAUAUUAAUCGAAACUCGCGAUUGAUGGCGUUUGUCGUGUGCCCGGAAGACUGCUUCGAUAAUGGUUCGACCCGUUGGCCGAGAGUGCUGGCUCAAUCAAUAGUGCUGUUAACAAUCUACAACGGAUUUAUUAAACGGACGGCGCUUGUUGCGUCCUGACGUAGUAUGCUUCGAUAACGGCUCGGCCUGUUGGCCAAAAGUGCUGGUUCUAAUGGAUAACGGAUUUAUUACGCGGACUCGCAUCUGUUGUGCCCGUAAGAAUACGCUGGAAAUCGCUGUUGGUUUAGGAUCUAUUAUUACAAGGAUCUGUUGUGCCGGUACAAAUACGCUGGACACUGCUUGCUGUUGUCACUAUUGGAUUUAUAAUAACAAGGACGGUAUCUGUUGUGCCACGACAACUAAGCUAGAGAUUGAUGAUGGCAGUCAUCGCUAUUGGAUUUAUUGCUAAGACUGUGCUACCCCAUUGUGGUUCCAGGAUAACGACUGAGCUAGAGAUUCAUGGCAGUCAUCGUUAUUGGAUUUAUUGCACCGGUAAU